GACGAACGCUGGCGGCAGGCUUAACACAUGCAAGUCGAGCGAGCGGCGGACGGGAGAGUAAUGUCUGGGAAACUGCCUGAUGGAGGGGGAUAACUACUGGAAACGGUAGCUAAUACCGCAUACCAUCAGAUGUGCCCAGAUGGGAUUAGCUAGUAGGUGGGGUAAUGGCUCACCUAGGCGAUGAUCCCUAGCGGGUCUGAGAGGAUGACCAGCCCCACUGGAACGGAGCCACGGUCCAGACUCCUACGUGAGGCAGCAGUGGGGAAUAUUGCCCAAUGGGCGCAAGCCUGAUGCAGCCAUGCCGCGGGUGUGAAGAAGGCCUUCGGGUUGUAAAGCACUUUCAGCGAGGAGGCGUUACUCGCAGAAGAAGCACCGGCUAACUCCGUGCCAGCAGCCGCGGUAAUAC
rnacentral:rRNA from 1 species